rnacentral:rRNA from 1 species
CCUACGGGUGGCAGCAGUGAGGAAUAUUGGUCAAUGGACGCAAGUCUGAACCAGCCAUGCAGCGUGCAGGAAGACGGCUCUAUGAGUUGUAAACUGCUUUUGUAAGGGGGUAAAUCCCGAUACGUGUAUCUGGUUGAAAGUAUCGUACGAAUAAGGAUCGGCUAACUCCGUGCCAGCAGCCGCGGUAAUACGGAGGAUUCGAGCGUUAUCCGGAUUUAGUGGGUUUAAAGGGUGCGUAGGUGGUUCGAUAAGUUAGUGGUGAAAGCCCGGGGCUCAACUCCGGCAUUGCUGCUGAUACUGGCAGUCUAGAGUUUAGUUGCGGUAGGCGGAAUGUAUGGUGUAGCGGUGAAAUGCAUAGAGAUCAUACAGAACACCGAUUGCGAAGGCAGCUUACCAAACUACGACUGACGUUGAGGCACGAAAGUGUGGGGAUCAAACAGGAUUAGAUACCCGAGUAGUC